UGAGAAACACGUGGGUAACCUGCCCAUAAGACUGGGAUAACUCCGGGAAACCGGGGCUAAUACCGGAUAACAUUUUGAACCGCAUGGUUCGAAAUUGAAAGGCGGCUUCGGCUGUCACUUAUGGAUGGACCCGCGUCGCAUUAGCUAGUUGGUGAGGUAACGGCUCACCAAGGCAACGAUGCGUAGCCGACCUGAGAGGGUGAUCGGCCACACUGGGACUGAGACACGGCCCAAACUCCUACGGGAGGCAGCAGUAGGGAAUCUUCCGCAAUGGACGAAAGUCUGACGGAGCAACGCCGCGUGAGUGAUGAAGGCUUUCGGGUCGUAAAACUCUGUUGUUAGGGAAAAACAAGUGCUAGUUGAAUAAGCUGGCACCUUGACGGUACCUAACCAAAAAGCCACGGCUAACUACGUGCCAGCAGCCGCGGUAAUACGUAGGUGGCAAGCGUUAUCCGGAAUUAUUGGGCGUAAAGCGCGCGCAGGUGGUUUCUUAAGUCUGAUGUGAAAGCCCACGGCUCAACCGUGGAGGGUCAUUGGAAACUGGGAGACUUGAGUGCAGAAGAGGAAAGUGGAAUUCCAUGUGUAGCGGUGAAAUGCGUAGAGAUAUGGAGGAACACCAGUGGCGAAGGCGACUCUCUGGUCUGUAACUGACACUGAGGCGCGAAAGCGUGGGGAGCAAACAGGAUUAGAUACCCUGGUAGUUCACGCCGUAAACGAUGAGUGCUAAGUGUUAGAGGGUUUCCGCCCUUUAGUGCUGAAGUUAACGCAUUAAGCACUCCGCCUGGGGAGUACGGCCGCAAGGCUGAAACUCAAAGGAAUUGACGGGGGCCCGCACAAGCGGUGGAGCAUGUGGUUUAAUUCGAAGCAACGCGAAGAACCUUACCAGGUCUUGACAUCCUUUGAAAACCCUAGAGAUAGGGCUUUUCCUUCGGGAGCAGAGUGACAGGUGGUGCAUGGUUGUCGUCAGCUCGUGUCGUGAGAUGUUGGGUUAAGUCCCGCAACGAGCGCAACCCUUGAUCUUAGUUGCCAUCAUUAAGUUGGGCACUCUAAGGUGACUGCCGGUGACAAACCGGAGGAAGGUGGGGAUGACGUCAAAUCAUCAUGCCCCUUAUGACCUGGGCUACACACGUGCUACAAUGGACGGUACAAAGAGCUGCAAGACCGCGAGGUGGAGCUAAUCUCAUAAAACCGUUCUCAGUUCGGAUUGUAGGCUGCAACUCGCCUACAUGAAGCUGGAAUCGCUAGUAAUCGCGGAUCAGC
rnacentral:rRNA from 1 species